AGCAAGGUUCCAUUAGCAUCAACUCUUUCCAAAACAGAAUAAAAUCAAACAAAUUUUCUUUCUCUUUCUUCCCUCCUCACCGCCAUCCCCAAAACACCAUAACCUAGCCAUGCCGCGGCUGAGCACUAACUGCCACGAAUCUCCCCUUCCUUACCCCAAGUCAGCAAAUCGCCAAAAAUUAGAAAAAUCAGUCCCUAAUUCGUGCAAAAAUGGAAACGUUCUGAGGAUUCACAACCAAAGCUUGAUAAAGGCUGAAGUCAGUAGAUCAACUUGAUAAUUUUGAAUUCUAAUCUCAUCUACAUAAAACUGUGUUUCAAAUCCUGACUUUGGAAUCCGUAUUUUGGCUAUAAAUAGCCCCCAAAAUUACCAUCAUAAGGGGAAAUGGAGAGAGGGUGAUAGAUCUGAAAAGAAAAGUAAAUUUGUGAGAAGAGUAAAGGAAAUCCAUUUUAAAAAAAUAGAAAAGAGAGUGAAAAUAGGGAACAAAGACUAGG
rnacentral:lncRNA from 1 species